rnacentral:rRNA from 1 species
GCGUCGUUUGCGACGCCCAACACACAAAACAAGCGGUGAGUGCUUUGGGGUGGGGUGACUGCGUACCUUUUGUAUAAUGGGUCAGCGACUUAUAUUCUGUAGCAAGGUUAACCGUAUAGGGGAGCCGUAGGGAAACCGAGUCUUAACCGGGCGUUAAGUUGCAGGGUAUAGACCCGAAACCCGGUGAUCUAGCCAUGGGCAGGUUGAAGGUUGGGUAACACUAACUGGAGGACCGAAACGACUAAUGUUGAAAAA